rnacentral:rRNA from 1 species
AGCGAACGCUGGCGGCAGGCCUAACACAUGCAAGUCGAACGAACUCUUCGGAGUUAGUGGCGGACGUGUGAGUAACACGUGGUAACGUGCCUUUUGGUUCGGCAUAACUCAGGGAAACUUGUGCUAAUACCGAAUGUGCCCUUCGGGGGAAAGAUUUAUCGCCAUUAGAGCGGCCCGCGUCUGAUUAGCUAGUUGGUGAGGUAACGGCUCACCAAGGCGACGAUCAGUAGCUGGUCUGAGAGGAUGACCAGCCACACUGGGAAUGAGACACGGUCCAGACUCCUACGGGAGGGAGGAGUGGGGAAUCUUGCGCAAUGGGGGAAAGGCUGAAGCAGGCAUGGCGGGUGAAUGAUGAAGGGCUUAGGAUUGUAAAAUUCUUUCACCGGGGACGAUAAUGACGGUACCCGGAGAAGAAGCCCCGGCUAACUUCGUG